GGCUCGUGUCUCGCCUGGGAUGAGAAUACGUAUAAAUUGGAAGCGAUUUAGGGAUUUGCAAAAUUGAAUUCUGUGUCUCUCUCAGAAAAUAGACAGAGAGAGAUAGAAAGAGUGUGUGUGGGAACGAAAGGGAAAUAGAAGAAAGAGAACCACCAAAAGAAAUCGCAGAAUCUCGAAACCUGGUUUUGUGCCAUCUUUAGGGGUUCCCUUCUGAUGGACGACGGGGAAAUUGAUUUCUCGAACCAGGAAGUGUUCUCAAGUCCAAACAUGGCUGAACUUCCAAGCAGUGGAUCAAUGGAUAGCUUCUUUGAGGAACUCCUCAAGGACAGCCAUGCUUGCACGCAUACCCACACCUGUAACCCCCCUGGUCCUGAUCAUUCCCAUACUCAUACCUGCUACCAUGUUCAUACCAAGAUUGUGCCUGCGCCGUCUGAGGAGCAAGUUGGAACUGACGACACUGCUGAGUCUGCUGAAAAGAAGUCAAAGAAGCGCCCAUUGGGUAAUCGGGAAGCCGUACGCAAGUACCGCGAGAAGAAGAAGGCUCGGGCUGCUUCUUUGGAGGAUGAGGUUGUCAAAUUGAGAGCUUUGAACCAGCACUUGAUGAGGAAGUUGCAAAGCCAGGCUGCUUUGGAGGCAGAAAUAUCGAGGUUGAAGUGCUUGCUAGUUGACAUUAGGGGCAGGAUUGAAGGAGAAAUUGGAACAUUCCCAUAUCAGAAGCCAGCGGCUCCUGCUGUGAACCCGCCAGCACAGAACUUACCUGGCUCUUAUGUGAUGAACCCUUGUAACUUGCAGUGUGAUGAUCGGGUCUAUUGCCUUCACCCGGGAGCAGAUGGAAAGAUUGCCGAAGGUGCAUCACUAACUACUGAAGGAUUUAAUGGUUGUGAAUUUGAGAAUCUUCAGUGCCUAGCAAGCCAGAAUCUGGCCCUUAAGGAUCUACCUUCUUGUGGAGUUGGACAAACAGUGUCUAAUGUGAAUUCUUCUGCAUCAAACAAAAGAAAAGGGGGUUCUCGUGCAAUGACAGCUGGCUGAAGAAUAAAAUGGUACUUUUUGUUGUAGCCAUGUUAAUAUCUACUUCCAAUAACUCAUUACCAAUCGCAACAUCAGCCAUCCAGAAGGUCAUCUUUUAAAGUAAUUUUCUCUGUUUGGCCCUCUGCUUGUGUAAUGGGUUGGGAUGGCUGUUCUAGUAUUGGAAGAUGAGUCCUAGCUCAAUGCUCUGUUAGCAGAAUUAGCAGUUGAUCUGUAGCUGGUAUAGCUUAUGGCCAAGCCACAGUAAUACUUCUUUAUGCAAUUCAAUUUGCGAUCUUUUGAUUAUCUUUGAACUAGUUAAACUGCUAUCAUAAAUGUUUCUCUACUGGUUCAUUCUUGAAUCAUGUAAGUAUUUGUGUGGUUGUUUUCCCUGUUUAACAAUCCAAUAUUUAAGCAAAAAUUCAUGAUUUCUAAGUACAAUAAGUUUGAUAUUGCUGGAUUACAGAACUUGGGGAGAUGGGGUGUGUUUCAUCUUCUAGUACUCUGGAUGUGUACAGCAUUUUGCUGGACAAAUGUUGACAAUGUGAGAAGAUAUCAUAUAUGGGCUCUCCUCUUCCCCGAAUCAAGCCGGACAUGUGAUUUGCUUUGUGUUUGAUAAAAACAAGUGGGUGUUUAGCUUUGCUAAUUGAACCCUAUCAACACUAGUGAGACAUAUGUACAUAGGUGGGGUUGACUUAAUGAGAAGUUUUAUCACAGGGAUCAUCAUCCAUCAUUCUCAUCAACUAAUCACUUGCCACAUGGGAACACAGCAAUGCUAAGAAACAACCACCAAGAAAAUAAUCAAUCACAGAUAAUUAUAUUAAACGUGCAUGCCUCCACCCAAGGUUCCUAACAUCUAAAUUGAGAUUUUUGUUGGAAUACGAACCUAACACCAUUUAAAUUUAUUUGAAAAACUAUGCUUACAACUGUCAUUAUAUUGGGUAAAAUUUAUUGAGACAUGUGAAGAUAGAUAUUUGCUUGUCUUUGUUAAUAAAAAACCUCUCGUGUUAUACCUUAACAAAGUUGUACCUCUUAAUUCUAGUGUUA